CGUUUCUCCACUGCUCCGGUCCGGCAAACGUUAAUUACCGAUCCGAUUUAGAAACUCACAACAGUACUUACGUGCUUCUCCACUACUCCGGCAUCCGGUUUUUAACGAUCCGAUAACUUGCUAGAUCGGAACGCGGUGUUUUAUCGGUCCGAAGUGAUCGACAGUGAUGCCAACUUGUACUAAUUUAGGGGAAAACACACAUUUUGUUUCUAUUUCCAUUUAAUAAUUUAUAUUAUUACUGGCUACAGCUUAAAUAUCGAAAAACAAUAAUUUGAUCCAAACGAAUAAUGGCUAAAUAAUGUAUGAAAAGAAAAUGACGAAAAAGCAAAUUUGGAUUUGAAGAAAGAAAAAAUAAGAAUUGUUUCAUCUCAUUGUUAUUAGUAUUUAAUAUUAUUCGGUCAAUGAUUAACAUAUUAUAUAAAUAUGUAAAAUGUACUCACAUAAAUACAACAGCUAUUUUUACUACUUCAACGAAUUUUUAAUUUGGUCCUAGGGGAAACAUUUUGUAAGAGUUGGCAACCCUGGCACCGCGCAUCCACCUGGGUAUUGUCAAUUGUGUACGUUUGUUUCGAGGUGUCAUAAAAAAAAUGUUUCAAUACGAUUUAUUUACAUUAAUAGAAUGUGUGGAAAACGUCCCUUGCCUCUGGGAUAAAACAAUAGAGGAUUAUAAGAACAAAAUAUUAAAAAGAAACUCUUGGUACGAAGUUUGUAAGAUAUUGGAACCAAAUUUUGAUACAGUCGAGGAAAGAAAAAAACAGAAAUAUGUAACAGUAUCAUCAACAAGUGGAAUAACAUACGGGAUGCCUUUAAAAAAUCAUUAAGCAAAAAAUCUGGCCAGUCACUAAAGAAAAAUUAUGUCUAUCAUAACCAACUACAAUUUUUAUUAAAAGUAUUUACGCCUGAUGAGACUGUUUCCAGUAUAUCUGAUUUUACUCAAGACUCAAUGUCAACGGUGGACAAAGAUUCAUCAUUGUCAACACAUUACCACCCAGGACAACGAAAAAAACGGAUGAAUCCUGUUGAUGUUGAGAUUUUAAAAAUUUUGCAGAAUACAAAUGAAGUGCCUGAGACAAAAAGGCUAAUUCCAUCUGACGAAGAUGAAGCUUUCUUACUCUCCAUAUUACCAUCUAUAAAAAGAUUAU